CCCUACAGCUGUGCCACCCUGAACGUGCCCGAUCUUGUCUGAUCUUGGAAGCUAAGCAGGAGAGGACCUGGUUAGUACUUGGAUGGGAGACCACAGAGGAAUACCAGGUGCUGUAGGCG
rnacentral:rRNA from 1 species